GUCAACUACCCCUCCCUAACUGAAGCAAAUGCUUCAGUUGAGGAAGGAGCUUGUUUCCAUAAAGCAAGUUCCUGGUUGACCAGACCACUGGAUACCGGUUGAACAUGUCAAAGAAAAGUCCAGUAAACGAUACCGGAGAAUACAACAGUAGUCACCCUGGGAUGUCGCCUCAGUCCCUUGCUCUGAG
rnacentral:sRNA from 21 species